GAUGAACGCUGGCGGCGUGCCUAAUACAUGCAAGUCGAGCGAACAGACGAGGAGCUUGCUCCUCUGGCGUUAGCGGCGGACGGGUGAGUAACACGUGGAUAACCUAUCUAUAAGACUGGGAUAACUUCGGGAAACCGGAGCUAAUACCGGAUAAUUUAUUGAACCGCAUGGUUCAAUAGUGAAAGACGGUUUUGCUGUCACUUAUAGAUGGAUCCGCGCCGCAUUAGCUAGUUGGUAAGGUAACGGCUUACCAAGGCGACGAUGCGUAGCCGACCUGAGAGGGUGAUCGGCCACACUGGAACUGAGACACGGUCCAGACUCCUACGGGAGGCAGCAGUAGGGAAUCUUCCGCAAUGGGCGAAAGCCUGACGGAGCAACGCCGCGUGAGUGAUGAAGGUCUUCGGAUCGUAAAACUCUGUUAUUAGGGAAGAACAAAUGUGUAAGUAACUAUGCACGUCUUGACGGUACCUAAUCAGAAAGCCACGGCUAACUACGUG
rnacentral:rRNA from 1 species